rnacentral:lncRNA from 1 species
AGAGGAAGGAAUAGGAACAUCCAAUGCGAUAUUUCAGUGUUGUCACAAUGCAGGAGAGAUUGCUGGAGAACUUGGACUAAGGAGUCUGAAAAAGCAACACUUGAUUACAGAUGACAUCAUCAAGUUAUGGGAGAGGAAAAAAAAGAGGUGCAGGGCAGAAUAGAUACACUGGAAAGUCAGAAUUGAAUGAGAGUCAGUGAAGAGAGAAAGAAAUGGACAACACACGAAAAGAAACAUCUUGAGCGAGCAGUCAAGAGGACUUGUCGGAAUGAUCAUAGUCAGUAG